UGUAACUCCAACGCACGCGUGCAGUGAUGACGGCCUUCGGGCUGUAAACUGCUGUUAUUAAAGGAAAAAAAAGUCUAGGAGGAAAUGCCUUGACCUUGACGGUACCUUAUCAGAAAGCCACGGCUUACUAUGUGCCAGCAGCCGCGGUAAUACAUAGGUUGCAAGCGUUAUCCGGAAUUAUUGGGCGUAAAGCGUCUGUAGGUUGUUUGUUUAUCUGGUGUGAAACUUGGGGCUCAACCCCAAAUUGCCUUGGAUACUGGCAAACUAAAAUUGUGAAAAGGGUAACGGAAUUCCUUGGGAAGCGGUGAAAUGCGUAAAUAUAAGGAAGAACAUCAGCGGGGCAAAGGCACCUAAGGGGACGCAUAUUGACUCUGAGAAACAAAAGCGGGGGAAGCAAACAGAAUUAAAUCCCCUGGUCCCCCCCCCGUAACCGAUGAUGAUUAGCUGAUGGGGAACUCAUCGCGCGCACCUAACGCAUUAAAUCAUCCGCCUGAGUAGAAUGCUCGCAAGAGUGAAACUUAAAGGAAUUGACGGGGAUCCGCACAAGCGGUGAGAGCAUGUGGUUUAAUUUGAAGAUACGCGUAGAACCUUACCCACUCUUGACAUCUUCUGCAAAGCUAUAGAGAUAUAUGUGGGAGGUUAACAGAGUGACAGAUGGGUGCGAA
rnacentral:rRNA from 1 species